CUGUAUUAACUUGAUAAUAUCACAGAAUUUCUAAACCCCAGGACCUACAUCGCAAUACUUCCGGGAAUGCUUUGCGAAGCAGACUCGACCGACCAGUCAUGGGUUUGGGGUCUGCAAGUCAAUGGGAGAAGUGAAAAAUUCUUCCAUAGUUGUUAAUUUUCCUUAAAUCUAAAGGCACAGCCUAGAUUCAAGCCCAUGUCUGAAGUAGCUGAACAUGUUAUUUCUCCAACGUUGUGAAAGUGACAAACUGACACAUAUUCAUUUUCAUCAAAAACAACUUAAAGUCGAAGGAGUGCCUUUGAUUUGAUUGCCUGCACAUGUGCAGUUUGGCACGAGACUACCUUUAGGCCUGAUGACAUGUUUCUGCGCAUGAGCUUAGCCAACCAACGUCGCCAUGACAUCGCCUACAAGUAUUUCUAUUGGAGAAGCAGUUUCUAGAUAUCUUCAUACUGUACUGUCUUUGAUAGUAUUAAGUUAGUUUGAGUUCACUGUGUUCAGUCUGAGGUGUGUCUGUCUGUGUGUGUGCUAUGUGCAUGUGUUCGUGUGUGUGUGUGUGACUCCACAGAAGGGUCAGGGUGUGAUCGACGGGGAGGACCUGCAGGACAAGUGUUGUCAGUUUAACCUGGACCUGAGUGGGCCGGUGCUGGAUGACUUGAUGGAGUACUGUGACAUGGACAAAGAUGGACUCAUCAACUUUCAGGAGUUCGCCAACUUCCUCAACUGGAAGAACAAAAUGCCCGCCAGUAAAGUGGAGCAGCGCAUUCUGACUAGUGAGAGUAAGUCCAGCACGCCCCAGAUAACAUGCAGAGAGAGGCUCUCCCUGUGAGACCUGCAGCCUCAGAGGCUUUGGCCAGACCGGAGGACCGGGAACCUGCAGAGACUAUCGUAUGUACGGGACUCCCACAGUGUGCACCAACCUGGUGGCCCCGCGGAUCAAGAGCGUCAGCGACAGCACUAACUACGGUGACCAGACCACAGCAUUUGACUUCCUGUUUCCUACGCUGUACUCCCUAAGGGGAGUCCACAUGGAGCACUUCUUCUGUCCCCGCACCUAAGAGGAGAUCACUGACAUAUUCCGAAAUGUGGGCGCAAGUAUUUCCGAGGAGACAUUUGCGGAGGCGUAGAAGCUGGCAUCCAUGAGACACCCCACUGGGGACGUGUGUGGAGAUUUUCCAGGACGUUCUAAAGGAAAUUCAAGCUAAUUAAAUCUGAAUAGUAUCUUUUACCUCCUCAGUAUCUAUUCUGUGAAAGAAUGUACUUCAAGUGUUAUUAUUCUUUUUUUUUCUUUGAGACUAACUAUUAAUUGUCAUAUUAACGGUCAUUAAAAUUAUUUU